rnacentral:rRNA from 1 species
AUUGAACGCUGGCGGCAGGCCUAACACAUGCAAGUCGAGCGAGCGGCGGACGGGUGAGUAAUGUCUGGGAAACUGCCUGAUGGAGGGGGAUAACUACUGGAAACGGUAGCUAAUACCGCAUACCAUCAGAUGGGCCCAGAUGGGAUGAGCUAGGAGGUGGGGUAAGGGCUCACCUAGGCGACGAUCCCUAGCUGGUCUGAGAGGAUGACCAGCCACACUGUAACUGUGGCGCGGUCCAGACUCCCACGGGAGGCAGCAGUGGGGAAUAUUGCACAAUGUGCGCAAGCCUGAUGCGGCCAAGCCGCGUGUGUGAAGAGGGCCUUCGGGUUGUAAAGCACUUUCAGCGGGGAGGCGUUACCCGCAGAAGAAGCACCGGCUAACUCCGUGCCAGCAGCCGCGGUAAUAC